rnacentral:tRNA from 1 species
GGUCUCAUAGUAUAAAUAAUGAUAUUAGAUUGCAAAUCUGGAGAUGUGCGUUAGCACUGGGACUU